GAGUUUGAUCAUGGCUCAGAUUGAACGCUGGCGGCAUGCCUUACACAUGCAAGUCGAACGGCAGCACGGGAGCUUGCUCCUGGUGGCGAGUGGCGAACGGGUGAGUAAUGCAUCGGAACGUAUCCUGGAGUGGGGGAUAACGUAGCGAAAGUUACGCUAAUACCGCAUAUUCUGUGAGCAGGAAAGCGGGGGACCUUCGGGCCUCGCGCUCUUGGAGCGGCCGAUGUCGGAUUAGCUAGUUGGUGAGGUAAAGGCUCACCAAGGCGACGAUCCGUAGCAGGUCUGGGAGGAUGAUCUGCCACACUGGAACUGAGACACGGUCCAGACUCCUACGGGAGGCAGCAGUGGGGAAUUUUGGACAAUGGGGGCAACCCUGAUCCAGCCAUGCCGCGUGAGUGAAGAAGGCCUCGG
rnacentral:rRNA from 1 species